CUUGUUGUGGUUACUAUUUCUUUUUUUGUUACUUUGAAACUAGUAUGUCCAUCUUAUUUUAAUAUUCUCCUCCACUAUGUGUUUUACUUUCUAGUUCUGGUAUGCUUUUCUUUACUGCUUUUUCUGCAAUGUUAUCAGUAACAUUCUUAUGUGAAUUCCCUUACCCUUUACCCCUUUAUCUGUGAGUUAUGGUUUAAAGCAUGACAACACUUUAAUAUUAUUUUCUAUAUUUCUGAACUGGGUUUUUUUGAGCUCCUUAACUUAGUCAAUUCUCACUUCCCUUUCCCCUUU
rnacentral:lncRNA from 1 species